rnacentral:rRNA from 1 species
UACGAAGGGGGCUAGCGUUGCUCGGAAUCACUGGGCGUAAAGGGUGCGUAGGCGGGCCUUUAAGUUAGAGGUGAAAGCCCGGGGCUCAACUCCGGAAUUGCCUUUAAGACUGCAUCGCUAGAAUUGUGGAGAGGUAAGUGGAAUUCCGAGUGUAGAGGUGAAAUUCGUAGAUAUUCGGAAGAACACCAGUGGCGAAGGCGACUUACUGGACACAUAUUGACGCUGAGGUGCGAAAGCGUGGGGAGCAAACAGG